GACAGCAGUCGCCGCGGGAAAACGAAGGGUGCAAGCGUUACUCGGAAUUACUGGGCGUAAAGCGUGCGUAGGUGGUGGUUUAAGUCCGUUGUGAAAGCCCUGGGCUCAACCUGGGAAUUGCAGUGGAUACUGGGUCACUAGAGUGUGGUAGAGGAUAGUGGAAUUUCCGGUGUAGCAGUGAAAUGCGUAGAGAUCGGAAGGAACAUCUGUGGCGAAGGCGACUAUCUGGGCCAACACUGACACUGAGGCACGAAAGCGUGGGGAGCAAACAGGAUUAGAUACCCCUGUAGUCCCUGUCUCUUAUAC
rnacentral:rRNA from 1 species